rnacentral:rRNA from 1 species
GACGAACGCUGGCGGCGUGCUUAACACAUGCAAGUCGAACGGAAAGGCCCUGCUUUUGUGGGGUGCUCGAGUGGCGAACGGGUGAGUAACACGUGAGUAACCUGCCCUUGACUUUGGGAUAACUUCAGGAAACUGGGGCUAAUACCGGAUAGGAGCUCCUGCUGCAUGGUGGGGGUUGGAAAGUUUCGGCGGUUGGGGAUGGACUCGCGGCUUAUCAGCUUGUUGGUGGGGUAGUGGCUUACCAAGGCUUUGACGGGUAGCCGGCCGGAGAGGGUGACCGGCAAAAUGGGAACGGAGUUACGGCCCGGCCUCCUACGGGGGGAAGAGGGGGGAAUAUUGCACAAUGGGCGGAAGCCUGAUGCAGCAACGCCGCGUGCGGGAUGACGGCCUUCGGGUUGUAAACCGCUUUCGCCUGUGACGAAGCGUGAGUGACGGUAAUGGGUAAAGAAGCACCGGCUAACUACGUG